AAAUUGACGAACAGCGCGAAUGGUAGUUGAAGAAAUUGGCGCAAAAUGUCCCUGGUCUGAUUGUCUUUUUGACGGAAAAAGCGAGUACGGACUCGUUCACAAACAGAGUCGCGGCAGAUACAGAGUUGUGAUGGAGGAUGUUUUACCCGCUGGGACAGUUUGUGGCCCAAACAACAGAACUGUCUCCUGGUCAAUGGAACUCUGCCUUCAACAAUAAAUACUGGAAUAAUCCAAACGGCCUACUUAAAAAUGGACACUGAUGAUGCAACAAAAAGUCUUCAUUUACAACAAAGGUACUUUGGGGUUGACAGACAGCCAUUGUGAAGGACACAAUCUGGCAAAAAUUUACCUGCAGAAGUGAAUGGGAGGAUAUGGGCUCUGAGGAAAAACUCUACACACAGACGCUCUACACACAUAGACGGCUCAAUGCUGCUAACUGGCAGAGCAGCUGGAAAACUAAAAGACAAGAAAACUAGAACAUUAAUACGGACAACUGUAUUAUUUUUCUGCAAGAACCAGGUCAAGCAAAGACAGUGAUGAGCACUCAGAGCAAACACAGCAGUCAGACGCAGGAUUACACACUGGACUUUAGAGUUCUUCAACAUGUGAUGUUGAACAUUUACUGUUUCUAAAGCCAAUAAUUUAUGUGGAUGCCAUUUAUAGACCUGUUAGAU